rnacentral:rRNA from 1 species
GUGUCAGCAGCCGCGGUAAUACGUAGGGGGCGAGCGUUGUCCGGAAUCAUUGGGCGUAAAGCGCGUGUAGGCGGCUUGGUAAGUCUGGUGUGAAACCUUGGGGCUUAACCCCAAGCCUGCACUGGAUACUGCCAAGCUUGAGUCCGGGAGGGGAGAGCGGAAUUCCUAGUGUAGCGGUGAAAUGCGCAGAUAUUAGGAAGAACACCGGUGGCGAAGGCGGCUCUCUGGAACGGUACUGACGCUGAGACGCGAAAGCGUGGGGAGCGAACAGGAUUAGAUACCCUGGUAGUCCACGCCGUAAACGAUGGGCACUAGAUGUGGGCGGUGUCGACUCCGUCCGUGUCGAAGCUAACGCAUUAAGUGCCCCGCCUGGGGAGUACGGCCGCAAGGCUAAA